rnacentral:tRNA from 1 species
GAUUGGUAAGAAUCCACAACAAGUUGUUCUUCAUUGAUGUAUCUGAGGGUCUGUAGCUCAGUUGGUUAGAGCACACGCUUGAUAAGCGUGGGGUCACAAGUUCAAGUCUUGUCAGACCCACCAAGUCUACUGAACACAGAAGAGCAGAUAUAUUAAGAUCUUAAGCUGGGGACUUAGCUUAGUUGGUAGAGCGCCUGCUUUGCACGCAGGAGGUCAGGAGUUCGACUCUCCUAGUCUCCACCACUACUACGCAGUCACUGAAUUAAAAAAAAGAUUGAUUAUAGAAAUUAAUGAACUGAAUUUUAUUGAGUUUAUUAACUUCUGUGAUUUAUCACAGUGAACUACUCGCUGACGAGGCGGUAGUUAAUCAUUAACAGAAUAUAUUUGAGUUGAAAUAAUUGUUUAACUCGUUUUAUGAAGCUUAACAAGCAAUUGUUAAUGUUGAAUGAAAUGAGAACUAGCGAUAAAACUGAAUCAAGCGUUUUGGUAUAUGAAUCUAAUUGAAGCUGUACAGUGAUUAAGUUCACAGACAACAAGCGGAAGUGGUUAAAUCCACAUUGUUAAUCUAUCUUGUAGAGAUUAGCGACUGUUUGGGGUUG